GUCGGGGACAGGAGGGGACAAUGCCUUCAGGGAGCUCAGAUCUGAUGGAAGACUCAAAGGUAAGUAAUAGACUCAAAGGUAACAGGGGCUCUUCCUCAAGGUAUGUACCAAGUACCAUCAAGCUACAGGUGGAGAGCACCCAGUAUGCUUUGCUUGAGCUGCUCUUAAAAAAUGAAAAAUAAAGGCAGCCAUACAUGGAAUGGCACACAAGGUAGGGGAAAGUAUACACAAAGAACCUGAAGUACAAGAGAGUAUGACACAUUCUGGUACUAGGAAACAGUUAUGUAAGGCCAUUGGGUUUUCAGGCAGAUAGUUUUAGGGAAUGAAAUGCAGACAGCAUCUGAGCAUGGAAAGACUGAGUCUUCUUUGUCUUUGUGCCUUUAAGUACAAGAGUUAGUAAGCACUAGGCUGUGAGAAAAUGUGCUUGGAAUUAGUGCAGUAAAAUACCUCCCAUACCAAAGGCUCCUAUUACCUAGAACUCGGUAGGUACACAGUAAACAUUUAUAGGAAAAUAUUUACUAGCAAUAAUAAAAUAUCAACUCUACAAGCUGAGCAGGUGGUAUUAUAUUCUUCCAAAUAAAGCCUGUAAGGACACAAAGACAACCCUAAAAAGACAAUGUUUAAACUGAUGUCACAAGUUUCAAAAAUAUGAUGUAGUUGUAAUGUACAGCUCCUAAAAAUUGGUGUCAGAGCUACAUUUGGGCUUCUGCAAUUAAUUUGUUUUGUUGUGCUAAACCUAUUUAUAAAACAAGAAAAUUUUAUGCCUAUUUUAUUUCAUGGACCGCAGAUAUCUAUACCAUUUUUCUUUCAAAGUGAACAUGAACUUGAAAGAUUCCAUUUGACAUGGAUCCUCAGGACUUGCUUCAAAUAAUUAUGGAUUUUAAUCUGGUAGACACAAAAACAUAAGCAAUCAAAUUGGUGGUUUUAUGACUAUUGAGUGCAUUUCCUUAAAGACUGUCAUAUAGGAUAGAUUUGUCUUUUAUCAAAUGUUAUUCGCAUUUAAAAAAAAAUGUGUAUCCUAAACCAAGAUCAGUUAAUCUCCGAAUUCUUUCUUUCCCCCAAUUAUUGUGAAUGAGCAUCUUCCCAAUAUUCAAGAGAUGGUGACCCUUGUGACUCUCAUUUCCAACUACUAAAGAUGUAUCUCAACUUUGCAGAUUUUUUUUUUGGCUGUACAAUGGAACUUGGAUACACUUUAAAUUAACUUUCUCAAGGAAUUAAAGUAACCUCUGAGGACUCAGCUUGCACAAAGAGGAUUGAGAAAACAUUUCCAAAGCUUCUUCUUCCUGAGCUGACCCAACACUUAGAAAAAUAUGACAUGGAUCAGCAACCCCAUUUUCUGUGUAAAGUGCAACUGCAACUAACCAUCUGAGCUGCCAUCUAGUCAAGCGACUGUCUGAGGCAAGUGUCUAUCCCUCUAAGUGACCUGAAAAAGCUUUGCUACCCAGCCCACCAAUGAACUUAAUG